AGGAGGGGUGUGGCCUAGACCACUAAGGGCCGUGACGUGGUGCCGCUGAGCUUGGACCCCGACCAGAAGAUAGAGAUUGAAACGAUGAGGAAAACGAAGUGCCUAAUCCCCGCUGGACGCUAACUGCAGGGCAAGCUCCCCAGUGUUGUAGUUGUGUUUCGGAGGCCGAGAACCGCUAUCGGGCUUCCUCGGACUCUGGCCCUGGAGGGGGGAAACGGCGAGGGAGAAGGCGAAACGAGUCUCCAGUGUGUUCUUGGGGCCUGGUGCGAGGCCCAGAGAAUUCUCUGCAGGCCUUUGCCCGGGCACUGAUUAAGGCUGCGAAGAGACGCACCGGGCUGCGGGCUUAGUAGCUUCAGGCUUCUGAAGUCAGAGGGAGGGCUGAGAGCUUACACUUCUGGAGCUCCCCGGGAGACGGCAACUACCCAACCGUGUGGGUGUGUUUGUGUAUGUGUCUUUUGUUGAGCUUCGGCUGGCUGUGUUAUUCAUUCAACAAAUAUUUAUCGAUCUUCGGCAGUGUGUCAGACAUACCUUCUUCUCAAAUCUUCACAUCAAACCUGAAUUAUCUCCAUUUAAUGAUGAGGAAACUCGGGCUCAAAGAAGUUAAGUGUUCUAGCCAAGACUGCAUAGAACAUGGAGGAGACAUAUUUCCACCUAUUUCUCUCCAUAAGUAUAAAAGACCAUAAAAGACCAUCUAGGGACUUCAGAACCCAAAUAAUGACACAAUGGUUCUGAAGCAACACUGUAACUGCUGAAUGCUUCUGGCUGCUUCUUUCCACAGUAAAAGAUGAAAAGAAAUAUCUUUUAUUGAGAUAGACUGAGGUCCAGGAAAA
rnacentral:lncRNA from 10 species